rnacentral:rRNA from 1 species
GACGAACGCUGGCGGCGUGCCUAAUACAUGCAAGUAGAACGCACAGGAUGCACCGUAGUUUACUACACCGUAUUCUGUGAGUUGCGAAUGGGUGAGUAACGCGUAGGUAACCUGCCUGGUAGCGGGGGAUAACUAUUGGAAACGAUAGCUAAUACCGCAUAAGAACAUUUACUGCAUGGUAGAUGUUUAAAAGGUGCAAAUGCAUCACUACCAGAUGGACCUGCGUUGUAUUAGCUAGUAGGUGAGGUAACGGCUCACCUAGGCGACGAUACAUAGCCGACCUGAGAGGGUGAUCGGCCACACUGGGACUGAGACACGGCCCAGACUCCUACGGGAGGCAGCAGUAGGGAAUCUUCGGCAAUGGGGGGAACCCUGACCGAGCAACGCCGCGUGAGUGAAGAAGGUUUUCGGAUCGUAAAGCUCUGUUGUUAAGGAAGAACGAGUGUGAGAAUGGAAAGUUCAUACUGUGACGGACUAACCAGAAAGGCGCA